rnacentral:other from 1 species
GGAUUGCUGUUUUAUACGACAGGAAUCGAUAUCCCAGGGGCCAUAAAUUCCUUUAGGGAGCUGUCCCUGUUUUGACUUGCGGGUCGAGAUACACGGCACCCACCUGCAUCGCAGGCCACAUGAGGAUAAGUCACCAUCGGUAAAGUCGGCAAUACC